GGGGAUGUAGCUCAGUUUGGUUAGAGUAUCGGCCUGUCACGCCGAGGGUCGCGAGUUCGAGUCUCGUCAUCCCCG
rnacentral:tRNA from 1 species